CGGGAUCCGUCCCGUUAAGGAAUGUAGCACGGAAACGUGCCGAACCUGAGG
rnacentral:ncRNA from 1 species